AUGGAGAGUUUGAUCCUGGCUCAGGACGAACGCUGGCGGCGUGCUUAACACAUGCAAGUCAACGAGAAGAGAUGAGAAGCUUGCUUCUUAUUGAUUCGAG
rnacentral:rRNA from 1 species